CCAGAAAGACGCAAUACGUUGUUCUAUGGCUCGACAGAUCGAUAAUGGCAGCUUGAAGGUGGACAUGGCAUAGCCAUGGUCCACGAAAACAUCUCUUUCUUGGAUUGGCCCCACUCAGUCGGUAUGCCCAGGUUAAGACAUUGGAGAUGAGGAUGAAGAUAUAGGGUGAUAGUGGAUCCCCUUGUCUGAGUCCCCUCGAAGGAUGGAAGAGAGAACUGAUGCAGAACUUCCUGGACUAUGAAGAUAUUG